rfam:Schistosoma rodhaini strain Burundi genome assembly, scaffold: SROB_scaffold0000190
AUCCAGCUGACGAGUCCCAAAUAGGACGAAAUGCACGUCGUGAAC